GAACUGGAGGCCUGAACCUGAGUCCUUACACGUUUUACAUGAGCGUUCAGCCAAGUGCACCACCACCAGGCCCCGACAGACGGUGUUCAGUGAAUAAAGAGGCAGCUGGCUGACUGACCUGCCCCAGCCCUGAGACUCAAAGGCAUCAUGACAGAUGUCAGUAUUCUGUAGGAGACACACCGGAUGUGAGCUGGCAAGAUAACUCUAGAAACGGAAUGCUGACCUGUGGAGAGCUACCGGUGUGUACCAGGAACCAGGGACCCGGCAGCCUGUGGGGCCAUCACUUCUCUACGCAGCCGUCCUGCCUUGAGGGUGAAGCUGGGGAGACACAGGAGCCCUUCCGGAACUUUCUCAGAGCGCCUGGCUUCUCAUGAUCUCAUUCGGGGGAAAAAGAAACUUGGCUUUCUCCACCCCCGGCUUCCUCCUCCGGCAGGAGUUUGAGAAGCACAGCAGAGCAGUGGCAAGAGGUUCUCAGGGUUCAGCAGAAACAACCACCUGCCUUGGACCAGGGAGUUCCAGAAAACAAGCAGGCUGGCCUUUCUGGAAAAGGAAGAUUCUUCUGGAAGUCAGGACUUAGCAUGACCUCUCUGAGAGACAACCAGCUUUGCUGUUCCCCAGAUUGGGGGGUGGGGGUGGGGUGCUGCCUGCUAGUCUGUGCAUAGGAUAUGGUGUGAAGAACGGCCCAGCACCGAGUGUAAGAAGGCAUCGCUAGGAGCCUUGCUCAAAAGGAAAAACAAGGGCUGGAAGUGAGCUUAAACAACACAGUCUUUCUGGGCUUGGGAGACGGCACAGCAGAAGUACACACAGGCCCUGCAUGUGAGGGGCCCCAGGUUCAAUCCCCGGCACCUGCAGUAGCCAGAGCUGAGCAAUGAUCUGGUCUAAAUCAAUCAAUCAAUCAAUCAGUCAAUCAAUCAAUCAUUCUUUCAUUAGUGAGAAACAUGUUUGAAGGAAAUCUUUAGUUUUUUUUACUUAUUUCAUUAAAAAAUUUUUUUUUAUCUUUAUUUAAUUUCCCUUUUGUUGCCCUUAUUGUUUUAUUGUUGUUGUAGUUAUUAUUGUUGUUGUAGUUAUUAUUGUUGUUGUUAUUGAUGUUGCUGUUGGACAGGACAGAGAGAAAUUAAGAGAGGAGGGGAAGACAGAGGGUGGAGAGAAAGACAGACACCUGCAGACCUGCUUCACUGCCUGUGAAGCGACUCCCCUGCAGCCGGGGGCUCGAACCGGGAUCCUUAGCCAGUUCUUGUGCUUCACGCCACAUGCACUUAACCCACUGAGCUACUGUCCGACUCCCUUACUUAUUUCAUUUUAAUGAGGGAAAGAUACAUAGAUGUAUAGAUAGACAGACAGACAGAUAGAUAGUUCAGCAUCACAGUCGUGCUCGACUCUGGUUGAUGGUGGUGCUAAGGAUUGAACUGGGGACCUCAGAGCCUUAGGCAUGAAGGUCUUUUGCAGAACCAUUAUGCUAACUCCCCAGCCCAGGAAACUGUUUUUGUGAACCACACUUGGGGGUAGGAAGGUAUCAUUUAUGCCAGAACAGAGACUAUAUUACAGAGGGAGAGGGCAGUUUAAGAUGAGCCAGAGACUUUUCUUUGCCAGGGCAGAGGACAACUGUAGCUCUGAUCACUAUUUGGGACCCAUUUUUGGCUGGUCAAAAGAAAAGUGGAUUGGGUGUGGUCAAAGAAAAGUGGAUUGGGUGUGGUCCUCCUUUCUCUGCCUCGAAGAGUCAUCUUCAACUUUUAUUUUUUUUUAAUCAUAGGACAUUGUCAUUGACUUACUUUGCUGACAGUGACCUGAGUGAAUGGUGAGGACAAGAGGACUGCCUUUAAGAUUUAUUUAUUUAUUUUUAUUGGUGAUUUAAUGUUGAUGUACAAAAGUACAACAUAACAGGUACAACUCCACACUAUUCCUACCACCAGAUUUCUGUGUCCCCACUCCCUCCACUGUAAGUUAUAGCAGUUCUCUCAAGGCUGCAGAUAUGAGUCAACUGUUAUUUCUACAACCAUAAAAUUUUAUUUAUUUGUUUAAUUUUAUUUUGCCUCCAGUGUUAUCUCUGGGGCUUGGUGCUGGCACUACAAAUCCACUGUCUGGUGAUCAUAUUUUCCAUUAAAAUUUUUUAUUAUCUUUAUUUAUUUAUUGUAUAGAGACAGCCAGAAAUUGAGAGGGAAGGGGGUGAUAGAGAGGGAGGGAGAGAGAGACACCUGCAGCCCUGUUUCACCACUUGUAAAGCUUUCCCCUUGCAGGUGGGGACCACAGGCUCAAACCUGGAUCCCUGUGCACUGUAACAUGAGCACUCUACCGGG